rnacentral:rRNA from 1 species
UACGUAGGGUGCGAGCGUUAAUCGGAAUUACUGGGCGUAAAGCGUGCGCAGGCGGUUUUGUAAGUCAGAUGUGAAAUCCCCGGGCUCAACCUGGAAACUGCGUUUGAAACUACAAGGCUAGAGUGUAGCAGAGGGGGGUGGAAUUCCACGUGUAGCAGUGAAAUGCGUAGAGAUGUGGAGGAACACCGAUGGCGAAGGCAGCCCCCUGGGUUAACACUGACGCUCAGGCACGAAAGCGUGGGGAGCAAACAGG